rnacentral:rRNA from 1 species
UGGCGGCGUGCCUAACACAUGCAAGUCGAACGAGAAAGUGGAGCAAUCCAUGAGUACAGUGGCGUACGGGUGAGUAACACGUGACUAACCUACCCUCGAGUGGGGAAUAACUUCGGGAAACCGAGGCUAAUACCGCAUAAUGUCUACGGACCAAAUGCGCAAGCAGCUUGAGGAGGGGGUCGCGGCUGAUUAGCUUGUUGGCGGGGUAACGGCCCACCAAGGCAAUGAUCAGCAGCCGGCCUGAGAGGGCGCACGGCCACACUGGAACUGAAACACGGUCCAGACUCCUACGGGAGGCAGCAGUGGGGAAUUUUGCGCAAUGGGGGAAACCCUGACGCAGCAACGCCGCGUGGAGGAUGAAGCCCCUUGGGGUGUAAACUCCUUUCGAUCGGGACGAUUAUGACGGUACCGGAUGAAGAAGCACCGGCUAACUCUGUGCCAGCAGCCGCGGUAAUACAGAGGGUGCAAGCGUNGUUCGGAAUUAUUGGGCGUAAAGGGUGCGUA